CCCACUAUAGCUCAGUUGGUAGAGCAUGGCGCUUACAACGCCAGGGUUGUGGGUUCGAGUCCCACGGGGGGC
rnacentral:tRNA from 1 species